UCUUGAAACUUAUGACGGCAAGGGAGGAGGUUGAUUUGUUGAAAUAUCAACUAGAGUAGAUGGAGAACAAGAAUGAUGAGUUGGUGAAGGAGCUCGACUCUUUUGAAGAGGCCCUCCAUGAAGCUCGAGAGAUGAUUAAUCGUUGAGAUAAGAAAUUGAGACAGGCUGAAAAGUGGAUUGAGGCUCUCGAACGACAGAGGUCUAGAGCCAAAAGAAGGGUAUCUCAAGUGACAAAUCGAAAGUCUCGAGAGACAAAGGUUAGAGGCCGAG
rnacentral:lncRNA from 1 species